rnacentral:rRNA from 2 species
UACACAUGCAAGUCGAACGGUGACCUGGGGAGCUUGCUCCUUGGUGAUCAGUGGCGAACGGGUGAGUAACACGUGAGUAACCUGCCCCAGACUCUGGGAUAACUUCGGGAAACCGGAGCUAAUACCGGAUAUGACGCGGAGAUGCAUGUCUACCGUGUGGAAAGUUUUUCGGUCUGGGAUGGGCUCGCGGCCUAUCAGCUAGUUGGUGAGGUGAUGGCUCACCAAGGCGACGACGGGUAGCCGGCCUGAGAGGGCGACCGGCCACACUGGGACUGAGACACGGCCCAGACUCCUACGGGAGGCAGCAGUGGGGAAUAUUGCACAAUGGGCGAAAGCCUGAUGCAGCGACGCCGCGUGAGGGAUGACGGCCUUUGGGUUGUAAACCUCUUUCAGCAGGGAAGAAGCGCAAGUGACGGUACCUGCAGAAGAAGCACCGGCUAACUACGUGCCAGCAGCCGCGGUAAUACGUAGGGUGCGAGCGUUGUCCGGAAUUAUUGGGCGUAAAGAGCUUGUAGGCGGUCUGUCGCGUCUGCUGUGAAAAUCCGGGGCUCAACCCCGGACUUGCAGUGGGUACGGGCAGACUAGAGUGUGGUAGGGGAGACUGGAAUUCCUGGUGUAGCGGUGAAAUGCGCAGAUAUCAGGAGGAACACCGAUGGCGAAGGCAGGUCUCUGGGCCAUAACUGACGCUGAGAAGCGAAAGCAUGGGGAGCGAACAGGAUUAGAUACCCUGGUAGUCCAUGCCGUAAACGUUGGGAACUAGGUGUGGGUCUCAUUCCACGAGAUCCGUGCCGCAGCUAACGCAUUAAGUUCCCCGCCU